GCCUCUGUAGCUUAGCUGGUAAAGCACGAGUUUCAUGAGCUCGGGAUCGAGGGUUCAAAUCCCUUCAGAGGCA
rnacentral:tRNA from 1 species